rnacentral:rRNA from 1 species
UAAUUAAUCGGUUAAUUAAAUCAUUAUCUACUUUUAAAUAUUAGAAAUAACUUAAUUAUUAGUAUAUUUUAUAGAAUUUAAUUUUUAUAUUUAUAGUUUAAAUUACUGUGAAGGUAAUUGUUUAAUUAUUUAUAAGUAGCU